rnacentral:rRNA from 1 species
AGAACGAACGCUGGCGGCAUGCCUAACACAUGCAAGUCGAACGAGACCUUCGGGUCUAGUGGCGCACGGGUGCGUAACGCGUGGGAAUCUGCCCUUGGGUUCGGGAUAACAGUUGGGAACGACUGCUAAUACCGGAUGAUGACUUCGGUCCAAAGAUUUAUCGCCCAGGGAUGAGCCCGCGUAGGAUUAGCUAGUUGGUGAGGUAAAAGCUCACCAAGGCGACGAUCCUUAGCUGGUCUGAGAGGAUGAUCAGCCACACUGGGACUGAGACACGGCCCAGACUCCUACGGGAGGCAGCAGUGGGGAAUAUUGGACAAUGGGCGAAAGCCUGAUCCAGCAAUGCCGCGUGAGUGAUGAAGGCCUUAGGUUGUAAAGCUCUUUACCCGGGAUGAUAAUGACAGUACCGGAGAAUAAGCCCCGGACUAACUCCGCGCCAGCAGCCGC